rnacentral:rRNA from 1 species
GACGAACGCUGGCGGCAGGCCUAAUACAUGCAAGUCGAGCGGAAGUUGAAGAGCUUGCUCUUCAACUUUAGCGGCGGACGGGUGAGUAACACGUGGGCAACCUGCCCUGCAGAUCGGGAUAACUCCGGGAAACCGGUGCUAAUACCGAAUAGUUUUCGCCACCUCCUGGUGGCGUACGGAAAGACGGUUUCGGCUGUCACUGCAGGAUGGGCCCGCGGCGCAUUAGCUAGUUGGUGGGGUAACGGCCCACCAAGGCGACGAUGCGUAGCCGACCUGAGAGGGUGAUCGGCCACACUGGGACUGAGACACGGCCCAGACUCCUACGGGAGGCAGCAGUAGGGAAUCUUCCGCAAUGGACGAAAGUCUGACGGAGCAACGCCGCGUGAGUGACGAAGGUUUUCGGAUCGUAAAACUCUGUCGUGAGGGAAGAACAAGUACCACUUAACUACUGGUACCUUGACGGUACCUCACCAGAAAGCCACGGCUAACUACGUGCCAGCAGCCGCGGUAA